AUUUUUCAUAGUGUAGGGGCUAUCCCUUUACCUAAUUAGUGAUAGUCAAGUUAUGCAAAUCCAUGGUUUGGCAAUUGAGAAUUUUGCUUUUCAUUACAUUUUUCUGAUGCUUUGAUGACACAACAGGUGAUUGACUGAGGCAGAAAGUAAGGUAGGUGAAGCCCAGGGACUGGUGUUUCUCUGAGGUUUCAGAAUCCCAUGGUUUAAAAAAGAGUGAUUUGGUCAGGGAGUAGGAUGAUGAGAGUCCUGGGGGCUAUUAUGAAUGUUUUGAAAAGCUUAGUAGAGAUAAAAAGUUAUUCACCACACGAUUGUACAGUAUAUCACUUUUUUUUUCCUUUUUUGAUACUGAGGAUUUAACCAGGGAGCACCUAACCACUGAGCCUCAGGCUCCUUUGCCACUGGGAUUAUAGGUGUGCGCCAUGGUGCCUGGCUAUGUUUUUGGCAAGAGUUAUAGCAACCUUAGUUGUCUUAGAUGUUCAGAAACAGUGGCAGUGUGUGCACCUUUGAUAGAUAUGAGAACACAAUUUUAUUACCUAAUAAUUUGUGGUCACAUUAGAUUGAGUGGUCUUUGAUGAUGGCGGAAUUGAGAAAAUGCCAUUUAAAAGUAUAUAUCCUCUACUUUUUCUAGUCUGUUUACUUUUUUGUUGUUGUGAUGCCUUUUGCCUUAUUUUUUCCCUGCCUACCAUCUCUCCCUUCCCCACUUUGUCCUUUCUCCUGCCUUCCCUGCUGCAGCGUGUUCCUUAAUCAUGGCACACACAAGUUCACUGACAAAUCCAGUUGCGAGUUAGCUAGUAUUUUUUAAAUUAGUUUAAAAAAAAAAUAGAACCUACAACUUACAAAAGGAUAGUCUAGUUGAUCAGUGGAAGACUAGAGUCCAGAUAUAGAGCCACACAUACAUAUAUAAUCAAUUGAUUUUUGAUAAAAGUACAAAGCAAAUUUCAUAAAUAAAGGAUAAUAUAACAAAUGAAUCUGGAACAAGCAGAUGUUCAUAUGCAAAAAUGUAAAAAUCAAUGAAAUCUGGAUCCAUACUCAUACUAUAAUAACAAGAUGGGUGAUAGAUAUAAAUGUACAAUCUAAAAAU
rnacentral:lncRNA from 1 species